UACGUAGGGUGCGAGCGUUAAUCGGAAUACUGGGCGUAAAGCGUGCGCAGGCGGUUUGUAAGACAGGCGUGAAAUCCCCGAGCUUAACUUGGGAAUGGCGCUUGUGACUGCAAGGCUAGAGUAUGUCAGAGGGGGUAGAAUUCCACGUGUAGCAGUGAAAUGCGUAGAGAUGUGGAGGAAUACCGAUGGCGAAGGCAGCCCCCUGGGACGUCGACUGACGCUCAUGCACGAAAGCGUGGGGAGCAAACAGG
rnacentral:rRNA from 1 species